rnacentral:rRNA from 1 species
UACAGAGGUCCCAAGCGUUGUUCGGAUUCACUGGGCUUAAAGGGCGCGUAGGCGGGUGUGCAAGUCUGUGGUGAAAGCCUCCAGCUUAACUGGAGAAGUGCCAUGGAUACUGCACAUCUUGAGGAGGGUAGGGGCAUCUGGAACGGUCGGUGGAGCGGUGAAAUGCGUUGAUAUCGACCGGAACUCCGGUGGCGAAGGCGAGGUGCUGGACCCUUUCUGACGCUGAGGCGCGAAAGCCAGGGGAGCAAACGGG